rnacentral:rRNA from 1 species
AAAUUGAAGAGUUUGAUCAUGGCUCAGAUUGAACGCUGGCGGCAGGCCUAACACAUGCAAGUCGAACGGUAACAGGAAGCAGCUUGCUGCUUUGCUGACGAGUGGCGGACGGGUGAGUAAUGUCUGGGAAACUGCCCGAUGGAGGGGGAUAACUACUGGAAACGGUAGCUAAUACCGCAUAACGUCGCAAGACCAAAGAGGGGGACCUUAGGGCCUCUUGCCAUCGGAUGUGCCCAGAUGGGAUUAGCUAGUAGGUGGGGUAAUGGCUCACCUAGGCGACGAUCCCUAGCUGGUCUGAGAGGAUGACCAGCCACACUGGAACUGAGACACGGUCCAGACUCCUACGGGAGGCAGCAGUGGGGAAUAUUGCACAAUGGGCGCAAGCCUGAUG